ACCUAAACGGCGAAACUGCGAAUGGCUCAUUAAAUCAGUUAUCGUAUAUUUGAUAGUACCUACUACAUGGAUAACCGUGGUAAUUCUAGAGCUAAUACAUGCUUAAAAUCCCGACUUCGGAAGGGAUGUAUUUAUUAGAUUAAAAACCAAUGCCCUUCGGGGCUCACUGGUGAUUCAUAAUAACUUCUCGAAUCGCAUGGCCUUGCGCCGGCGAUGGUUCAUUCAAAUUUCUGCCCUAUCAACUUUCGACGGCUGGGUCUUGGCCAGCCGUGGUUACAACGGGUAACGGAGGGUUAGGGCUUGACCCCGGAGAAGGAGCCUGAGAAACGGCUACUACAUCCAAGGAAGGCAGCAGGCGCGCAAAUUACCCAAUCCCGACUCGGGGAGGUAGUGACAAUAAAUACUGAUACAGGGCUCUUUUGGGUCUUGUAAUUGGAAUGAGUACAAUUUAAAUCCCUUAACGAGGAACAAUUGGAGGGCAAGUCUGGUGCCAGCAGCCGCGGUAAUUCCAGCUCCAAUAGCGUAUAUUAAAGUUGUUGCAGUUAAAAAGCUCGUAGUUGAACCUUGGGCCUGGCUGGCCGGUCUGCCUCACCGCAUGCACUGGUCCGGCCGGGCCUUUCCCUCUGGGGAGCCGCAUGCCCUUCACUGGGUGUGUCGGGGAACCAGGACUUUUACUGUGAAAAAAUUAGAGUGUUCAAAGCAGGCAUAUGCUCGAAUACAUUAGCAUGGAAUAAUAGAAUAGGACGUCGCGGUUCUAUUUUGUUGGUUUCUAGGACCGCCGUAAUGAUUAAUAGGGACAGUCGGGGGCAUCAGUAUUCAAUCGUCAGAGGUGAAAUUCUUGGAUCGAUUGAAGACUAACUACUGCGAAAGCAUUUGCCAAGGAUGUUUUCAUUAAUCAGGAACGAAAGUUAGGGGAUCGAAAACGAUCAGAUACCGUUGUAGUCUUAACCAUAAACUAUGCCGACUAGGGAUCGGGCGGUGUUAUUUCUUGACCCGCUCGGCACCUUACACGAAAGUAAAGUUUUUG
rnacentral:rRNA from 1 species